UGAUGUCCUUCUUAUUGAACAUCGCCGACCUCUUUGCUUGAAGUGCUGUUUUUAAAUAUCCAAUUGCUGACAAUACCUCAAAUUUAGCUUUUCGUUCAGUUUCAACAGCUCAAAAUAUAUUGAUCCUCAAAUGUCUCUCCAUAUACACAAUAUUCUCUUGUUCAAGCUCAACUUCGGUUUAGAAGUGAAGGAAGCAAAUUUUCAGGGUUCACUAUAUGCCCUUUUCCUUAUGAUGUUUUCGUAGAUAAUCCACUUUUCAUCCUUAGUUAUUAUCGGGUCCAAGAAUGGUACGAUUUUGUUCCGUGCAAGCAGAAAUGUGCAUAUAAUAACUCGAUCAUUCAAAUUCUUUUCGAUAAACUUAGGUGGCACCCAUCUCGAAUAUUUCCACACGAAUCCCCUAGUUUCCCAAUAUGGUCCGAAAUGAUUUUUUAAGCUGAAUUAAGUCUAUCCGCAAUCUCCAAUGUUGUCAAAAAAGGAUUUUGCUUUAACAUAAUCUUGACAGUAUCGUCAAUGUCAUCGAUCAAAGAUGAUCGCUCAAAUCGUCGUUUAUCAGAAAGGUCGAAAUCACUUGUUUCAAAUUUUUUUAACCAUAUUCUGCAGGUUCUAUCAGAAACUGUAUCUUUACCGAACACUUUCAAUAAAUUUCCUCACGCUUCUAUAACAUUUCUUCCUUGUUGGAAUUCAUUCGAAAUACAGUGGCGUAAAUGAACUUUAUCAGAAGCCAUAAGUACAAUAUCGCGUCUCACUUAAUACUAAUAUGAAUCAUCUUUGUUUAAUUCAUUCGCUAGGUUAGUAUGUAUAAAUUCAGUGACAAAAAGAAAGAGCUAAGUAUGCGUCAAAUGAAUAAGCGCAUACUUGUUGAAACUUGUUAUCAGAACGGACAGAACUUUCUGGUACACCUAAUACUUAUCUGAUAUGAUUCCUUUUCUAAAAACAGAGACGAAUUUUUGUUCGCGCAAGAAAUUCAUCAAUCCUCCUCCUCUCCACUUCGAGUUCCUUCAGUUGUUGCUUAAGUUCCCCUGGAGCUCUUGGACAAAGAGAGUGAGCGACUGUAUUUUCUUCUCUCUUCCUUCUUUUCCUCGCCGAUUUUCCUGUCUAUUUCUUGAAGAUACGUUUCGUUAUGUCCCAGACGAACUUCCAAAAUUGUUACAUGCAACCAUGCUUUUCAACGAAAAAGAACUUUAAUAAAGAACAAAGAAGAACAAGUUAUUGCUAAUGAACAGUUUAGCAGAUUAAUUCUCUCAAUAAAAAUAUCCGAAUAUGUUGGAACGUUCGCAUAUCACGUCCUCUCUGGCCGAAUUUCUUUAGAAGAUAAAUGAUAACCCGUUAUUAUUAGUCACAUUUUCUGGGCGGUUAGAAACGAUCUUCUAGUUUUAAGUUCACUUAGAACUCUUUUAGUCAGACUCAUAACAAUAUCUCAACUACAGAUUAAUGGCAGCACAAGUCUUAUUUACAAACAUUUAAUUAUUUAAAAUUGAGCUCAGUCUAUGGUACCCUGUACCCUACAAGUAAAACUAGGUUUAAACAUAUUUGAUAUUUGGAAUAUUUUUUAUAAAGAAAUAACAAAAUUUACAUUGAUAGCAAAGGAAUAAUUUAUAUUUCUAAUAUCUUCAUCUUGCUUUUUAAAAUAAUAGUAAAAAUAUAACAAAAAUAGCAAAACAAUAGUGAACAUAAAAAUAAAAAAUUGGUAUGUCAUGAAAUUUUAAUCAUAAUAGUCUUGUUAUGAAAGAUCGAUAUUUUUUGGGGCAUAUUUUAAUAGGGGUCCAAAAAUUUGUAAUACCUGAGGUCUCUUAAAAGUCUGCCACUGACAGUAUUCGAUCACAUAUUCGUAAGAUCUCACAGCAAAAUAUUUUUCGAUGAAUUAAUUAUUUGAUCUAUCAUUGAUCAUCAUUGACACGUCAAAAUAAAUAGAAAGUAGCAAUAAAAUAUUUUUAAUUUCCAAUCCUAUAUCGUAAAAAUAAGCAAGCAAAGUUUUAAUUUUUGUCUUGAUAUGUUGAAUCUGUUAACGAGAUAAUGUUUAUGUGUAUUACAGACUCUACUCUAUCUUCAUAUUCCGUUUCGUUUAAAUCAUUGCGUUCGAUUUUACUUUCAUUUUUUUUCGCUUUCUAAACGAACAAUUAAAUAUACUACUUUAUCACGUUUGCGAAGUGCGCGUUCCUGUUUGUGGAAUUUUAAGGUCUCCUAAAUCAGUCGUUCUUUCGAUUUUAGUUUUUCAUAUAUUUGAUAUUUCUGAUAUAUAUGAUAUUUCUUCUAGUCUAACCUCCAUAGACACUACUUCGUAUAUCCAUUUUUUGAUCGAACUUGUUUUGAUUCGUUUUAUUUGAUGACAUUUCACAUAUUCCAUCUCUGUCUCAAUUCUGUGUUACGUCGCGUUCGGUACGAAUCUGUAGAAAAUAUAUCUUUAGGAGUAUCUCUUAUAUUGUCGGAGUUUAUGUCUAGAGCUUUUAUCUGUUAUUUGCAAUUAUGGCUCGAAAUAAAUACGAACAAAAUAUCGCACGUGAAUAGUUCAAAUAUUGUUUGGUUGCAUUAAUACCGGUUUCAAUCAACACGAUUUCACAUGAAUAACAGGAAUAUAACGGUCUUCUACAGAUGUCCUAUGAAUUUGAAAUUGCAGCAUUUCGUAGAUGGGAUUGAUUCUGAAAUAAAUUAAUAUCGAUUGCUCGUAUUACGUAAAAAGUAGUCCUAGAAUUCUAGAAAUAUUCUCAAUAGAAAACAAAAGAAGUUUUGGUUUAAUAAGAUUCCAAGUCUUAAAGAUUAAUUAGAUUUGAAUUACAAGGACUUUCAUAUUUAUAGCUAAAAUAAAGUACACGAAAAGUAGAAAUAUCGAUUGCAUUGAAAUAUGGCUCAAAAAACGCGUGUAAUGUGUAGAACAACCAAAAAUUUUUGUGAAGGUAUUCUAUGAGUUAUAAUUAAUGAAUAGCGAUCAUUUGUCAAUGUGAUCGUAACAAAUUAAUAGGGAACGUUCAAAUUCUGCUAGAAAUGGUUCUAAAGUUAUGGAGAUAUUCUUAAUAGAAUUGUCAGAUCUAAGUGCAUAAGAAUCAAGUCUUGCUUUAUUAAAAUUCGAGAUAUAAAAGAUUUUAUUAGAUUUGAAUUACGAUAAUUUCCGCCCUUAUAACCAACGAUCGAUUGCAUGAAAAAUUGAAUUAUUCUUUUACUGCAUUGAUACGGAGAUCAAUAAGUACGUUCUCACGUGUAAAAUAAUAAUGCGAUAAUCUUCUGAGGAUAUUCAAUAAAUUAUAAUUAUGGAAUAACGCCAUUUUUUUGACGAGAUCAAUUCUGAAACUAAUCAAUUUAGUAGAGGAUUUCUCAUCCUCUGCCAGAAGUGGUUGCGGCUUCGAUGAAAUUUGUAUUUUUGUCGGUGUAAUCGUCGGAGAGAAUUCCUUUUCGUGAGAUGAAUAUUUUGAGUGUGUUUAAAUACGACUUCGUCGGCAAAUUGAAAACUUAUUUGGGAUGGAUUAUCUUGCAUGACAAGGAUACAAACACUGCAAUAGUCUAUUCCGCAAUAGACGAAUGGUUUCGCUAGGGAUAUUCUAGGAGUCGGGAGAUCACCCAUAAUUAUCUGUUUUGCAAUUGGCACAAUACGAAAAUAUUUAAUAUAAUUUCGCAUGAAAUGUCUUAACGUAUUUUUCCAGUUAUUAAUAAAAAACGUCGCAAAGAAGCUAGCGUAGAUUGAGGACAUCUUCGUAAUUUUGUGUUUCGGAGGUAGCAACACGAUAGGGUGCUUUGUCGAGCACGGCAGUGCGGAAUGUGACAGUCUGCCUCCAAUUCUGAUGACGCCAGUCUUGACGAUGAACGGAAUCAAGCCGAGAAGCUUACGGUUGCGAGGCAUAGAUUUAUUGUCGUGUAUAGUCUCAGAACUGAGACAUUGAGGAUCAUUUUACAAGAGUUGUGAUUGAAUUAAGUGAGACGGCGAGAUUCCUCGAGAAAUUGCGUCGACAGGUUUUUCCUUCAUGCUUACAUACUUCCAUGAUCAUGAAUUAGUUCAUUCCUGUAUUGGACCUACAAGAUUUGAUACUAAUAACGCUUCGCGUCGACUCUUAUCCACCCCAACGUGAUCAUGAAUCAGACAAAUUCUAAAUUCCGUCAAGCUUGAUGCUGAGAGACUGUGAAAUUCGAUGUGCGAGUAAAUGCGCCGUGCAAAGUUCCAAUUUGAGAAAUAUAUAAUACUUUUUGCAGGAGCGACUUUGCACAGAAUAUCCUUUCGAUAACCAUCGACAUUCUUCGCUUUGAUAUAGACCACGACUCCAAACGCAUCCCCAAAUGCAUGCUUGUGACGCAAAUACCGUAUAUCUCAAUGAAUAAGGUUGCGAAUAAGUGAUGAUCGUUCUUAGUAUUUUCAAUGUAUUCAAUUGUAACAUUUGAUUCCAGUAUUUACACUGUUUUGUUCCGAAAGAUACUAUUUCAUCCCAAUCGAUCUUUAGCAAUCUAAGCUUCUGUAUGAGAAACUUUCCAUUUAUGAUAACUAGCCGGAGUAACCCGAUAGGAUCGAAGAUUUGAAUGACGUUUGUGAGUAUCGAUCUUUCACGGGAAUCGGCGGUAUCACAUAGUAUUGAAAGGUAUCAUGAUUGAGUAUAUGUUCAAAACGAAUUAGAAAAAUUCUGAAAUACUGCCGAGUUUUAUGCCCAUUUUCUGAGUUUGAAUUCAGCCUUGAUCAAUAUGGCUAUCACUUCAUCGCGAAUCACGAUUGCUUGGUCUAUAUUGUUUGUGCCGGUUAACAAAUCAUCGACAACAUGAAAAAAUCCGACAACAUGAUCACCACUUAUAAUGAAAAAUUGGUUCUUUCGAGAUGCGCAAUUUCUUGCAAUUCUUGUAUGUACCGUAUGUGACUGUUUUAAAGUCGAAUAUUAUGAUCUUCUCGUCUGGAUUGGUCCUCCAUAAGAUGUGCUCAUAUUGUUUGCGAGUUAUCAAAGUAAACUUGCUAUACGCUAAAUCGGAAAAUUAUGUCUAAGAGAUUUUGCUGCAGAGUUGGACAUACCAUGAGUAUGUCGUUGAGAGAAACUCUUGUCGAGGUCUUGCAAAAUGCGUCAAACACAACACGUAACUUUAUUUUGAAAUACGUUUCUUUGACUUGGUGAUGCAGUAAAUAAUAUUCCGCUGACACAAAUCUUGAUCUUCGAUUCACUUUUGUGACUUAGUCAUCGAUACUCGCUAAGAAAUUCUGUGUAUUGAAUCCUAACUUCGCAUUCUUUUCGAGCUUUCGAUCCAAUGCGUUGAAUCGUCGCAAUGCUGUAACCUUGAAAUUGUCAAGCUGCCCAGUCGUAUCCAUUUGGAACGGAAGCUGCACUAUGAAACGACCGCCCUCGUCUCUGUGAUAAAUUUGAACAAAAUAAUAAUCACAAAGAUUUUUCUGCGUCGUGCGAUUAACUCGCUGUGGGCAUAGCUCGCUUUCCAAAAAUUUCGUGAAAAUUGUGUUGAGCUGUUGAUUUGUGAUAAGAUUGUGAUAAAAAUCGGUGCGAGCUCCAGUCUGUUUCCUCGUCUCGGUCAAUCAGUCCAAUACCCAACCGAAAAGAGUUUUUUGAAGGAUUGGAUGAUCUUUAGUGACCUUAAUCUGCCCAACAAAUAUCAACGGAAAUGCCUUUACAACGUCCAACACCUGAAUGAUUGUUAUGGACAACCGGACCUAUCACCUAUCAUGAUCAUGAAAUGUAUGUGUGGCUGCCGAUAUAAUCUAAUGCAAAUCUUUCGAUUAGUUUUGCCAAAUCGCUUUGUGGAAUUAAUGGGAGAAUAUAUAAGCAUGUUGUAUCUGUUGCAGUAGGUUUUGCAACUACCGACUUGACAAUCUUUCGUGCAAUGUAAGACAGAUCGUAAACAAUUCAGGCACAGUUUGUUGUCCUUGACUGCUUUUGCAGAACCGGCAUCUUCAGUAAAGUUUCGCACAUGAUCUCGAAAUGCUUGUCCUUAGAAAUGGGGCAUUUGUUAGUUUGAUUUGUGACGUUGAGCGAAGUCGGCUUUGUUUGCCAUUGUUUGUUGAGGAUUGAAGGAGUAGACGAUUGUGACGCUUUUCUUUGAAUAAUUUUCAACAUAUAUCAUCUGCGAUUCAUGAAUUUAAAAUUGUUAAAUCCUGCAAAGUCGGGAUUUCUGGUUCCCUUAAGCUGUUUUCCCAUUCUCGAUUUGCGACAACAUCGAGCUUACUUGUGAUUACAUACACGAGGCGGUCAUUCCAUUCGAUUGUCGUUCGGCCUAAGGCUCUCAAGGCGCGUUUGUGCUUCGACAUAUCAUCGACAAUCGCAAUCAUGCGUGAUUUUUUUUAAUAGACUUAUCAUAAUAGCUGGUCAACAAUUACAAAGCUUCGUUGACUCUGAAAAAAAGUGAACCCCUGUCUAUUUGAUCUGGAACCUCUUUUUAACGAAGGCUUCUUUUUACUUAUCAGUGCGCUGAGUACGACAGAAAGUACUAUUGGUGUCAUUUAAGUCCUAUACUCUACCCUCAAACUCUGAUAUCAAUACAUUCCGCAAAUUUGUGUAUGAUAUGCUUCUCUUUUUUGCUAUUGUUCCCAAGCUAUAAAUGUUAUCGAACUUUCUAGCUACCUGUAGUAGCCAUCACAUUUUUCUAGUUUAGAUCCUACUUUCAAACAAUUUGAUGUGCUCAUCCCACAUUAGAUCACACUCCAUAUUCAAUUUUCCGUAUUGGGUUUUAAUAUUCACAGAGCACCCUAAACUUUUCGGUCUAAACUAAUCAGUUCUUUUGUUAACUUUCAAACCUCUGCCGGAUGAUCUAUUGCAUUGUGAUAAUAUUGUUCAUUGCAAACAGAUUGCAGUAAGUUAGAUGUUCUCCUUUCAUAUACUGUCAACUUACAAGCAUAGCCUCGUAUUAACAGGUACCAUUUUGGUAAUGAUAAACCAACGGUUCCCAAUUUAACAUCCCUAAAGAUCCUAGGGAGCAAAUGUAGUAUUUGAUCCAAUCCAUGCCAAACACCAUCAAUCUUUAAAUAUGCUUUAUCGCUCUCCUUCAAUUUAGAAAUUAGAUCUAAACAGGAAGCUUCUACCGCUAUCUUGUCUAUUAAGUCAAAAGCUGGUAUUCUUGAUUUCAUCUACCAAAUACUACGCUAUCUACUGACAAUAUUUCAAAACGUUGUACCUAUUGUUACUAAUGCUAUAUUCACAUUACAAUUUGUUCUUAUUCGAAUAGGCUGGACGUAAAAUACGUUAUCAGCCUUUUUGAGAUCAUAGACACUAAGUAGUACUCAACAGACCCAUCGUAUCCACUGCCUUGGUGGAAUAUAACUUUAACGUCUCCAAAACAGUUUGAAUCCGCCCAUAUAGUUGAUAUUUUGUAGCCGCCUCAGUACUCAUAUGUUGUUCUCCCUGGUUGUUCGACUUUAAUCUAUAGCAUCCCGUACCAGAUUCUUGGCAUCAGUCAUCCAUUCCCACCUAGAGUUCUAUUGAAUGAAGCAUCAUAUUCCAAUGGGUGCUUGAAAUGGCUAAAACCACCAGAGUCUCCCAUUAUCGAAGUCAUCGCUUCUUCUUCCAUCAAGUCCAUUUCUUCCCUAACUUUUUUUAUCGAAGACAAUAUCACAGUCGAAUUCCAGUCAUUUAACAUUCUAUUAGCCAGUCUAGCAUCCUGCAAAACCAACUAGGCAUCCUGCAAUAGUCUUUUUACCAAAUCCUACAAAAUCGGAGUGAGGACGAAAAUUUAAAGAACCUUCUUAUUGACUCAUCGGGCAACGCUGCUGCUGUUGAUGACGUUUAACGUGAUACGAAUUAAUAGUUGAUAAGGAAAAAUUUAACAAUGAGAAAUGUAUAUCUCGCGGUUUAGGAAACAGAUACGUAGGCAGUGUAGAAAGGAAAUAAAAUCCUUGCUGAUUAAUUGCAUACAUUGUAGAAAAUUUUUCAUCCGAGUUGACAUCACAAUUUUCAUAAAGUUAAUAAUUCAGCAAAUGGAUCGCUGAGUUGAACUGGUAGAUAUGAAAUAUUUAUAAAAAUAUGAAAUAAAGAGUGUGAAACAAGGAGUAACGUAUGCAAGGGGAGUGUAAGGCAGCAUCCCAACAAUGUAAAUAGCCGAAUAGCGAUCGAGUGUUUUACGCCAAGACAAAGAUCCAACAAAAGAAAAGAAGGCAUAAAAAGGUAGUCAGCGUCUAUCAAUCGAAUAACGAUUACAUCCUAGUGUACCAAUAUUUCUUUACUUUUCAUUUAUUAGAAUAUAUUGCAUUUCCGUAGAAGAGAAUUUUCUUUUCAUCAUCGGAAUUCUUAUUUUUUUUAGUCAGAUAUCAUUUCAGAAGACUGACUAGACAGAGCGAAUUCCAAAUAUAUUAUGUAAAAAGUAUUAGUAAUAUAGUAAUAUCUGUAAAUACUGAUAAGUCGAAGAGCACGACGUGAAGAAUAAUGUAUAUUACUGAAAGUACAGGGAUUAAUAUAGAGAACUUCGAAAUGAUUAAAAUAAAGGAUUUAGAGGAAAUUGUUAUGAGAUUGUUGAAACAGAAAGGAACCGAACAGGGAAUAACUACCAAUAUAUUAAAGUUGGUGUUUUAUGCAAUAAAAGAGAAAUUUGUCGACGUAAUAAAUAAUUCUUUGAAGAAAGGUUGCUGUUCAGAGAAUUGAAAAACAUCAACGAUAAUACCGAUUCCACAAAUAGAAAAAGCUAAAAAGCAAAUUAUUAUAGAUCGGUAAAUGUAUUUUGAAUUUAAUGGUAUUAUAACGGAACAUUGAUUAGAUGUUAGAAAACAAUAUUCGUGUAAAAUGGUAAUUCAAACUGUUGUUGAUGAAUGGAAAUAAAUAGUUAACUAGAGAACAAUGAUGGAUAUUAUUUCUAUGAAUCUUAAGUGAAUGUUUGAAACAGUAGAUAGAAAGAAAUUAAUAGAAAAUUUAUAUCAAUAUAACUUUAGAGGUAUUGUUUUAGAUUCAUUUAAAUAAUAGAACGCAGCAGAUUCGUGUGGACGAUAAAUGGUCUGAAUUAAUUAACACUGAAUAUGGAGUGCCGCAAGGAUUUGUAUCAGAAAUCUUGUCAUUCAUUGUAUAUAUAAAUUAUAUAAUAGAAAUAUUCUCUGAAUGAUGUAUUAUAAAAAUGUUUACGGAUAAUACAUUAAUUUAUGUUAUUGGAAAAAGUAGUAUACAGUUAGAGACAGAAAUGAAUAAGACAUUUAACACUAUGACGUCCGGUGGCUCCACCUUGGUGCCAUUCGGAAGUUAUUGCUCAAGCACCAAUGGCUGCAUUGUGGAGAAUUCAAUUUAAAUUCAAAAUUGGAGGACGAAAGAAUAUUGCGUGUUCUGGAAUUAACAGUAAAUUACAGACGUAGCAACUUUGUGUUUUCAUAAAAACCUGUAUCCUUCGACAAUGGCAAACGAAAGAGAAGAUACAAUUAUACGUGAUGAGUGUGUGGACAUCUUGUCUGGUGUUCCAUCCGAAUUUCAAGAUAGUGAGGAACUAGAAGACAUUACGUCUUCAGAAAAGGAAAAUGAGGCAAUAUCUUCGAAUGAAUCUGACAUAUGUAGACAGAGAAUUCGGCGAACACUACCGUUACCAAGCGAUACAGAAAAAUCAGACGAAGAUAACUGUAGACAGUGGUCAAAUUUUGAUUUACCAAGAAACAAUUAUGCUUUCGAAGGAUCUUCUGGUCCUAACGUACUUCCCAAAGAUACAAACAAUAUCGAGGAUGUCGUGGAACUAUUUAUAGGGAACGACUUGUUUGAAUUUAUUAGUACCGAAACGAACAGGUACUAAGAUCAAAAUUCCACCAGGAGGAAGCCCGAUAAAAAAAGUGCAAAAUUUUUCAAUGUUACGGCAAUUGAACUAAAAAAAUGGUUUGGACUGAUUAUUCUUAUGGGAAUCGUUAAAAAAUCAAAGAUUGAAGAUUAUUGGGCGACAAAUCCAUUUUUGGAAACACCAAUAUUUGGUAAUACGAUGUCCCGCAAUAGAUAUUGGCAAAUAUUAUCGUUUGUACCUUUUUCGGAUAAUAGUAAAAUACCUGCUAAUGCCGACCGACUGUUCAAAGUACAAGGUAUAAUUGAUUAUUUUACGAAAAAGUUUCAAGAAAACUUCAAUCUUUGUCAAAAUAUUACAAUAGAUGAAGGAAUGAUGGCGUGGGCGAUUGAAUUUUAAAGUUUAUAACCUCUCAAAAAUUAUAAAGUAUGGUAUAACUUGUCCGGAUGCUGUGUGAUUCCAUUACGGGAUAUAUUUCGCAAACGGGAUAUAUUUUACAAAAUAUACUCUGGCAGUAAAAAAUCUUUAAAGGAUACAGUGAUAAAACUAUUGAAAAAUGUUACUGGAAAAUGGCAUCACUUGUAUAUGAAUAGCUACUAUAACAGUAUGGAACUUGCGGAUGAUUUGCUUACGAAAAAAAUUCGCGUUUGCGGAACGCUGUGUAAAAAUAGAGGAUUACCGGCAAAGUUGAAAAACUGCAAACAAAAUGUAUUUGAAACCAAACAUCAACGAAGAGAAGCAGUACUGGCGCAAGUAUGGAAAGCAACGAAGACGAAAAUAAUAAGAACAAUUUCUACCAUACACAAUGGUGGUUUAGUUGACACUGCAAAAAAAUGCAGAAAAAGCAAUAGUACGAUUAAAAACUCGGCAUCUAUUUUGGAUUAUAAUAAAUAUAUGAAGGGUGUAGAUCGAGCUGAUCAAUUUUUGAGCUAUUAUCCCAUAUACCGGAAAACUUUAAAAUGAUCAAAAAAAGUGGCAUUAUACCUUUUCAAUUGCGCUUUAUACAACGCGUUCGUACUGCAACAACAUUAUACAGAUUCCAAGAAACUCCACUUUCAUGAUUUUUUAUUGAAAAUAUGCGAAUCUUGGAUAAAAGAUCAUUCCCUGUUGGUGAACAGAACUUGGAGGUCCCGAGUUCAUGACAUGCUUCCAGUCGUGAAUCAAUCAACAGACUUUCCGUCCUCGUAAUGGAACGCUGAUACGUAUUUCAGAAACCAGCAACGGAAAACGCAGAAGGAGUCAUGUGUGUUAUAAAAACAAAAAAAUUAAGUGAACUAAUUUAAUCUGUAAAUCUUAUGGAGUUGCGCCUCGCCUCGGAGAUUGCUUUGCUUCGUUUCAUUUAAAAAAUAAGUACGAAGUUUUUAACAAAAUAUAAAUAAAUAGAUAAAUAUGUAAUACAAAAAAAUCUUGUACUUAUUUACAUAUGUAUACCCUCACAAUUUCGAGAAAAUCGCGAGACAGGAUUGAAACAUGGAAACUGACGAUAAGAUUAGUAAACAAGAACCUCGAAAAACCGCCGGCGAUAAGCGAAAUUAUGUAAAUAAGUUCCACCGGCGCGACACG